UUAAUUGAUGAUCUAUUUUAUAUCGACCGGGCGGACAUACUAGUAUCCAAUAAUUAUAUAAAGGCAUUUCUGUGUACAAAUUUUGAAGUGCUGGUUAUUGGAGAAUUGAUGAAUGGUCAUUAGAUAUCUGAUA
rfam:Hanseniaspora valbyensis NRRL Y-1626 HANVAscaffold_177, whole genome shotgun sequence.